CAGUAGCCGCGGUAAUACAGAGGGUGCGAGCGUUAAUCGGAUUUACUGGGCGUAAAGCGUGUGUAGGUUGUUGUUCAAGUCAGUUGUGAAAUCCCUGGGCUCAACCUGGGAACUGCUUCUGAGACUGAACGACUAGAGUACGGUAGAGGGUGGUGGAAUUCCCGGUGUAGCGGUGAAAUGCGUAGAGAUCGGGAGGAACAUCAGUGGCGAAGGCGGCCAUCUGGGACAACACUGACGCUGAGGCACGAAAGCGUGGGGAGCAAACAGGAUUAGAUACCCCAGUAGUCCCUGUCUCUUAUAC
rnacentral:rRNA from 1 species